rnacentral:lncRNA from 1 species
AUGAGUAAUGUUUUAUUUUAUUUAUUUAUUUAUCUUACAGAUGUAUUAAUCUGUUGUCAAGCUGCAGUUUCAGAUCUACUGACUGAUUUGGGAUCAAAUGUGAUCAUAAACUGUGAUCUUGAUGAAAAUGAGGUUUAUUGGAUUUUACUGAAAACAGCAGAUCCUCCGACACUGAUUCUACGAACAUCUCCAACACCAAUACCUCCUCAUUACUAUAAUAAAACAUUCAGAAACAAAUAUUCAGUGCAGUUUAAACAUCAUCUGGUUAUUAAUAAUGUGACAGCUGAUGAAUUAGGAGUUUAUUACUGUAUGAACACACGCACUCCUCCAAAACUCAGCAACAGCACCAGAAUAUACUUCACCGAACCGUUUCAUCAAACUGAGUGUCACAAUCACACAGUUCUGCAGAUUAUUGAUCAGAAUCAGACACAGUGGAAGAUUAUUAGCAUCAUAUCUGCUCUGAUGAAUGGACUUCUGAUCAUUGUGCUGAUUGUUGAGUUAUUUUCAGCCAUCUGUAAAAAUAUCACUAUGAUGGUUUCUCCGUAUGCUAAAGUUAAUAAAACAUGUAAAUAUUCAUUAUUUAAGCUUUCGACUUCUUUUUUUUUUUUUUUUUAGAAACUUUUUUAAAUACAGAAUCUAAUAAACUGCUCUAUUUCUAGGUUUAUUGAAAUGUUCUGCAGAACAAUCCCGACUCGAAGCUGAUCAGCAGCAGACACAAGUUACAGAACAACAUCAGGAUCAUUUACACUUCAAAACAUGUGAAUCCAUCCUCAUUACUAAAAUUAAUUUCUGUCUUGAUAAUUAUUGAGGAUUCUUGCUGAUCUGUAAAUUAGUGUUUCAUAACUCUUCAUUAUGAUUCAUAUUUGUUCAAAUGCAGCUGAACACAUUGCUCUUUCAGGAUUUCAUGUAGAUCUUUAAGAGAUAAUAUUUGCUCCAACCAAAUCAACAGCACCUACCUUCAAUGAUGAAACUUAUUUCUUCUGCUUUUAAAGAAUAGUUGGAAGUCAUGAUAUUAAUGUCUAUUAGUUUCUUGAACUAACAGCUAUACAGGUAGUUGUAUAUUUUUCUUCUUGUAAAAGCCUUUGUAUUUUAGUGGGUCUCAUAAAUCUAUGAUCAUAUUUUGUCCCUCCUGCUUCAGAUUUAAUUUGUGUUCAGGAAAUUGAUGUUUCCUAGUUGGUCUCUUUGUCAUUUGGAAGACUUUGUUUUGGAAUCGCUGUAUCCAUCUUUAUCUGCUGAAAAGUGUUAGUCGACAUGGACAUUUCUUUUUCUACCACUUUGACCUCGAAAGAAAAGUGCAAAUUAAUUAUAUAUAUAUUUUUUAGGCCUGAUUGGUUGAGUUUUUCAUGCUGUUGGACCAAGAAGAGGCUAGAUGUUAUAUAUAAAUAACUGUUUAAUAUUUUGUUCGUUUAUGAUUUGUUUAGUAUUCAGUUAAUUGACAAUAAUAUAA